AAAUAAUAAAGCAUUUAAAAUGUCACAUUUAGGAAUUUGGAAGAGCUUUAAAUGGGGUAAGAUAAUACUAAGGGCUGUAGUUCAGAAAGAUCAGUAAUUGGCUACAAUGUAGAGAAAUUGUGGUGAUGCCAAACUGCAUGAUUGUAUUGUUUUUCUCCAGUAGUACUCAGCUCCCAACAAAGAAUUGAGUAUGGCAUCAAGCCAGGAUGCGGGGAUAGCUCUAGUUGAAGAGCUAGAUUCAGAGAAAAUGGAAGAAUCCAAGCUCAGAAGUCUCCAUGAAGUGGGAGAGCAAGUAUGAGUGUGAGCAGCAGAUGUGGAAUAAUUGGAUGAUAUGAUCAGAGAAAGGGAUGUAAGAGAUUCCUGAGAGCAGUUCUGGGUGCAAGGUAUAGAGUGUGGCCUUGGGAAUUAAUUAGUAAAGUGAAGAGUUGCAUUGUGGAGAUCAAGGAAUCACAUGGUACAUUCUAUACUCCUUUCCUGAGCUAAAACAAUGGCUUAUUCUUUCUUUGGUACUGACACUGGUUUAUUAUCUUUAGUUUUUGCAGAUUCCAUCAUUUGACAAGUAUUUGCUGAGUGCCUACUAUGAGCUGUGCUGCACCCAUUGGCACUGGGCAUGGUGAUAUGCACCUGUGGUCCCAUCUACUCAAGAAGCUGAGGUAGGAAGAUCACUGGAGCCAGAGAGGUUGAGUCUGCAGCGAGCUGUGAUGUGCCACUGCACUCCAGCCUGUCUCAAAAAAAAAAAAAAAAUUGCUCCCACAUUUUAUUCCUUAGGGACAUGGUGGUUGAGCUUUAAGGUAUGAAGGGGAAAUAGUUGAAGGGAGGGGGAAGCAAGGAGAGUGUCCCAAACAGAUGACCAAGCACUUACAAAGGCCCUGGAUAAAGUAGCAUGUGGCCCUCAGAAGCUUCACAGUUCCUACGAAUGGCGGAGAACAAAUGAGAGAAUGAUGAAGGCAAUGAAAUAGGGGCUGAUUCAUGCUUCUGUAGGCCGUGUUAAGGAUGUCCUAUGAACAACAGAGCGCCAUUAAAGAGAUUAAGAUACCUGGGGCUGGAAUAGGGAUUUGUAUUUGUAGAAUUCAAUUUGUGUUUCUAAAAGAUCACUGACUACGACCUAUAGAAUGAUUGGAGCAGGGUCAUAGUGUUCCAUGUGAGAGAUGACAAUAACUUGGGCUGGGGGGUGGUAGUAGUGGAGGGAGGGUAGUGGCCUCAUUUGUUUGGAAAGUUAAGUCAGUCACGUAUCUUUGGUUAUUAUAAUUUAAAUUGUAAUAAGGAGAUAACAAGUAUGAACUUCCUUAGUAAAAUCAGAUGAGUGAAGCCAGCCUUCCUGGGUUGCAUCCACAUAGGAGAAAACAUGACUUACUCCUCGUUCUUCUGGAGAAUGGCCCAUGAGGGAACAACCAUCAUUUUAAGUGAAGAAUCUAAAUAUAUUACAUUAUCCAGAAAGGAGAAAAGUAGUCUAGGUGGAUUCCUGCAUAACUGUAAAAAGUCAACUGAAUCUUUAACAUUUUGCCAUUUAUAAAAUUCAAAGUAAUUUCAAGACAAUUAAUGAAGGUUUUAACUCAAUAAAGUUUGUUACUUAAUAGUUUGAUUUUGCUAAUUAAAGAAAGAAUACCUUAUCCCAUCUCUCUCCAUCUAGUCCUUUGUAGAGGCAACCACUUUAAAUUCUUAGCUCUUUCUUUGGGUCAUUUAUAUUUCUAAAGAAUAUACUGUUACAAUUUGUUAACCCUAGACCUUACAUAUUGAAUUAUAUUAUGAUCUGUUGACUUUUUUAUGAUAGGUAAGGACUUGGCUCUCAUGUCCUUCCCCUCUCCUCCCAAUAUGGAUAUAUUUAAUGAGAAUUUAUAUAAUAUAAAACAACUAUGUAAAUAUUGUUUAAUCAGAGCCAACACUUAGUGUACUAUAAAUACAUGUUCCUGUAUAUGAUGUUUUCUUGUGUACUUUAAUUCCUUUGGAAUGUUCUUUUAUAUCAUUCGCUCUUUGGAGUCUUCCCCCACCCUCUUCCUCUAUCCCAGCCCCUCCUCCCCAUUAGUUUUGUAUCAAUGUGGAUUCGUUUUCCAGGGCUGCUGCAAAGUUGUUCCAGACUUUUCCUUCCCCAUUUCUGGCUGGAUCCAGAGUCCAUCUCUGGCAUCCAUACUUUUGUCCUUUUAGCUUAAAAUUCUCGGUUUGCUUGAGCAUAUCCUGCCAUAACUUCCUAAGAAUAGGUGCAUGGGGACAAAGUUUUCGAAUUAUUGGAUGUCUGAAAACGUCUUUAGUCUCAUGAUUGAUAGCCGGGUCUAGAAUUCUAAGUUGAAAAGUUUCCCUUUGAAAGCUUCUCAUAGUCUCCUAGCCUGUGCUGUUGCUGUUAAGUGGACUGAUACAAUUAUGAUUUUUGUUCUUUUGUAUACGAUCUGUGUUUCCCCUCUCUAGAAGACUUUAGGAUAUUUUUUGUAUUUCUGGUAUUCUAAAAUUUCAUAGCGAUGUCCCUUAAUGUGAAUCUUUUUUAAAAAACUCAUUUUGCAGCUGGGCACCAUGGCUCACACCUGUUAUCCUAGCCCUUUGUGAGGCUGAGGUGGGAGGAUUGCUUGAAGCCAAGAGUUCAAAACCAGCCUGGACAACAAAGCAAGAUCCCAUCUCUAUUGUUUUAAUAAAAUUAAUAAAAUUCAUUUUGCAGGGUGUGUUGUAGGCUUAUUUAAUCUGUGUCCUUAGCUCUGGAGAAUUUUCUUUACUAACUAACUUUCUCCCCUUUAGUUUAUUUGUCCUCUUAAAUCUGUAGAUACUGUUCCUUUUAGACUAAUUUUCUCAGCUAUGUUUUUUGCUCUUCCCUGCCCCCUUUCCUUUUUGGCUCUGUCUUCUUUGAGAGGAGUUUUCCUACAUUAUCUUAUCUUUUAACUCUAAUAUUAAAUAAUUCAUUACAACUAUAUAUUUUAAAUUUUGAAGGUUUUUUCUUGUUCUCUGAUUGCUCCCUUCAUAUAGCAACUUUUAUUUUAUGAAUAAAUAUACCACCUUCUCAUAUCAUCUAUUUGUUAGAUUAGAAAGUAGAAUUUUCAGCUGGG
rnacentral:lncRNA from 1 species